AGCUGGAUCCCUAAGCACUGCUCGCCCUCCAUGCCCAUUCUUUCCAUGUCUUUCUUUUCAGCUGGAGGUUUUACACCUUGGAGAUGAUUUUCUAGCCUGAAUCCCACCCUCUUCCUCCUGCAAGGAAGCACCAGGAAUCACUCGGCUUAAUGCACUUGGGAAAGAACACCCCAUCCCGUUUUGUCUUCCUUGGAUACAAACCGGGACAGGUGCAGGGCUGGGGCCGGAGGAUGCGGAGCUGAAGAAAGCCAAGCAAAGGCGUCAGGAGGAUCCGAUUACCCCUCUAAAAAUACCUCUGGUAUUUGGACAAGGUGUAGUUUUAUGAUUAUUUAGAUGUUUUAUUCAUCCUGGUGUGUAUCCCUCCAGCCCAUCCCUAUCUCAAGUGGCUGAUAUUGCCUUCAGAAAGCAGACUCCAAAGGUUGCUCAAGUGCUGGAGGUAAGUCACUUUAAACAUCCAGAUCCUCCUUUUUUCCCCCCUUUAUCCCUGGAAAUGCUUGGGAAAGGAUCAGUCAGCCGGAUGCUCGAAGUAACUGCAUGGCAGAGCCUAAAGGAGCAGCAGGAACCAGCCGUGGACUUAUUAUGCCCUGAAAUGAAACGUUUAAAAGGAGGAAGUUGGCAGCAGGGCUUUUCUAAUCAAAAUCUAUAUAACCUGCCAUUUA